GGUGAGGUGGCCUAAGGGUUAUGGCGCCUGGUACAUAUUCCCCCGCCUGACAAUUUUCGGAGAAUCACCAGGAGACUUCCGGUUCGAGUCCGGACCUCACCA
rnacentral:tRNA from 1 species